GCCGAGGUGGCGGAACUGGAAUACGCGCUAGCCUUAGGAGCUAGUGUCCGAAAGGACUUGUGGGUUCAAAUCCCACCCUCGGCA
rfam:Candidatus Sungbacteria bacterium GWC2_49_10 gwc2_scaffold_23300, whole genome shotgun sequence.